AGGCAGGGUCUGGGUUACCAGACAAAGCCUGCGAGCACUUUGGUUUCGGGUUCUUUUUUUUUUUUUUUUAAUUUUUUUUUCUUCUGGUAAAGAAAAGAGGCAAAACCAGAAACAUCGAGAUUAGAAGCAGCCUGGGAGUGGAAGGGCCUCGGCGGAGCCUGGGCGAGCAGCGGGCCCGGCAGAGCCCGCGCUGCGGCCGGCGGGUGCGGGGCGGGAGGCGCGCUGGCGCCGCGCUCUGGGCGGGGCCGGGGGCGACCGGCGGCACGUGGAGGAGCCGCGCAGGUUGGGCCCGGCCUACCCGGGCCCGGCCUACCCUGGCCCGGGCAGGCACCCGCGGUAACCGCGGCGCGGUGCCGUCCCUGCCGCGCGGGAAGGGGAGGAUGGCAGUGUAGAGCUAAGUAAGUAAUUUUAGGGGGAAAAUACUAUUAUUUUUUUUUUUUAAUGAAAAUGACAUGAUGCUUUGUUAGAAUUAGGUGGAUCGGCAUUCCUUGGAAGAAAGGGGACAUUCCAGUCCCUUGGCCCAAAAUUUGCCCUGAAAAUAUUCAUCACAAAUGGCUCUGUCCUGCUGGAGACAUCAAACUCCAUCACAUCUAAAAUCUUUUUGGGUCUCACCAUGCUAGCAGCAUGCACAGAUUCCUAAUACUAGUUUUCUGUGAAGAGUAAAGAAAGAGGGACUUGUUUUGGCUUCCGGAUGCUUCAAAGUAUUGUUGCUAUAAACUCUUGGGCAGAGAUUUCUUAGAAACACUAUCUUGAUGAAAUUUGCAUAUGAAAUUUAGUUACGUGUCUAUAAUCGUACGUGUGUGAAUGGAAGGUGGCAUUUCUUGAUGUGUAACGGUGGGCGUACACCUAACCUGCUCUUUGGCAGACUCUGAGUGUUUCCAAAGGCACGAUGUCGCAGCCUGGCCUCUGCUAGUUUGAAUCCCCCGUGAUGCACCUGUUUUGCAGGCUGAGGAACACCAGGGUCACAGCAUCUUCCCUGCUUAAGCACGUGCCCGAGCAGUAUGUUGUUGAUAUUGCCACUAAUAGCAUAAUACUAAGUUUUGGCAAGUCCUUGUAAGAUAGUGAAGGGGAGGAUAUAUUUUUUUUUGUGCUAGAGGUUUCCAGGCCUGGGGUCUGGAAGGUUCCAUCUCCUCUGUUCGUAGGGCUGUGGGACCAGAAAUCUUCCCCACCCCGCCCAGUUCCUGACUUGAUCUCCACCUGUUGAUGCGGGGUAGCGUUUCCAAGGGCUGUUGAGCUCCAUGCAGGCAGUUUGCUGCUUUGCAGGUGACUUCAUUUCUGGGUACAGUGUUUGCUUCAUUUGCAGUGCCCAAGCGAGAACCAAAAUUAGGUGUUCCACAGUUAUGUCAAGCCAGUAGGGAUGGGGUGCCAGCCGGAUCUCAUUGUCGUUGGUUGUCCCUGAAGAGCUGAUGGUGUGGAUGACCAAGGGGGCUUAUGUAUGGUCUCCAGCCCCUGCUAAGAUGGCAGCAAAGCUGGUGCUGCCAGGCUGGAGCUCAGCUCUUCCAGGUGUGCCAGAUAGAGGACAGUUGGAAACAUGGUCUGCCUGGGAAAACGGACCUGGGGCAUCCCUCCUUCCUGCAGCCAUUUUGAGGAUCCCAGCUGAGGACACAUUCUCAACCUCUUGGGUAAAUCCACCCAUGCUGGACACCCCCGUUGUUCCAAGCAUCCCCUGGCUGCUUGCUGCUGAAUCUUCCCUUGAGAUCCACAUCGGGGGAUCUCCAAGGUCCAACACCACCAUACGCUGCUGCUGUGGGUGGUGACAUGACAAGGGAGACCCAGGUCAUGCUCCUAAUUUACAGUGUCUGGUCUCGGCCAACUCACUCUGCUCCAUCCAAAAAAACAGGGUAAAGGGGGAUGCCCCGGUCCACGGCUUUUCAGUCAGUGCUCUGUAGGCAAAGGGUGUUGCAUCUGGGGUCUCUACCAGGAUCUUCCUUUUCUGCCACUGCCUUGGCAUCUUCUAGUCUGUGUUUACGCUCUGCUUUCUCUGUGUGGCAUCUGUCUCUCAGCCCUGCAGUGAUUUUCACAACAGCAGUUACAAGUAUGGGCCAUAGGUGUCUUUGCUUGGGCCCUCAUAUGGGCCAGUGUCUGCUUUAAUUUUCCACUUUGUGGGUGGGAUCCAACCUGCUCCCCUGAAAGGUCAGCUCCUCUCUCUCUUUAUCCUGGUGGUUAGUGCUUCAGCCUCCCGACAGGAGCGUCAUGCCCUCUUGCUUCAUCUAUCUUAUCUGGGACGCAAAAAUAACUCCUGUGGGGAUUCACGCCAGCAAAAUGCAAAUCAAACACUUGUAUUUGUCUUAGAUACUAAGAUGACAGCUGAGCAUGUGCUGUAACUUAACUGUAAGCUUGUAGAUAAAUCAGCCACUUGCUGAGUUGUGCCCUUGCCCAGCAAGCCUCAGUACAGCCACCAAUGCCAGCCCAUGCACUGAAGGCAAAAGCUUCCGAAACUGACUCUGUGUCUCAUGGUGACAUGUUAAUUAUCAGGGAGAGCAAAAUGCAGGAGUUGCUGAUGAACAUCUUUUAGAUGAGCCUGAUCCCAUGGGCAAAGCGAGGCUCAGAAGGGCACUGGAGGGUUUGAAGGUGCAUGUGUUGUGGUGGUCAAAUCAAGUGUAAGGUAUGUGAUUGCAUUUUGGGUGUUUCUGACGUGGUUGGCAAACAAAGGAAAAAACUAAUAAAGAAGGGAUUACAAGUUUAGGAAAAAGACGAGAAUAUACCUUGCAACUUGUAAGGAUUUGGGGGAAACCCUUCCCUGUUGUGGAUACGUGAGUUAACGGGCUUUGUGGCUUGCAAGCGAUUACCUUCUAAAGCAUUAUCCUUAGGGCUUGAUGGGACUGGCUCUUUGGUGACUCUUGGAGAAGGUUUUAUUAGGUAACAGGGUAGUUGUGUAUACUAUAAAACCUUUAGCCACGGAUACCACAGAACAGCCCCAGCUCUGAUCGGGAUUUUCUAGUACUGUUUAUUUAGGUGUGCAAAGAGAUUUUUGAAUCUCUCAGCACUGACAAUGCUGCCCUAGAGCAACUUGACAUGAGGUGGUAUCUCACUGCUCAAGUAAGACAUGCUUCAGCAGCCAACUUACUCCUUAAGUCUUUGUCUUGCAAAAGGCCUUUUCCAGCUGUUUAUAAGGUAGUAAAUUAUCUUGGUUCACCCCGGUCCACUGCAUCCUUGCUCAUGGCUCACGUUCUUCCAGUCUGCAGCAAAUGAUUUGAUGCUGGAAAGCAACUGGGGAUGGUGGAGUUUGCACCUUGCUUGGACCCUGUGCAGCUUUUUCACUCCCAUCACACUUCUGUGUGCUGGGAACCCUCACGUUGUAAACACCUCCCUCUCUGUCUCUAAAGAGGGAUAUUGCUUGUGUCUCAAAACAUGCUGCCCAGCUUACUGAAUUUAAUUGUCGUCUCUUCUCACAUAAAUGGGAGUAUUGGCAUCCCCCAGCACCAAAAAUAACCUACCUGCAUCUAUGCUGCUCACUCCGGCCUCUGCUUUCCAAGGAUGUCACCUACGGAGAUAACAGAGGGACAGUCAGUACCUUGGGGAAGACUGGCCAAACUACUGAAGGUACAAAGACGCCUGGCAAUGUUGCUUUCUAGCAUUCAGCAGGGAGCAUUUGGUACCGUAUGGCCCGUAGCCCUGUCCUUGUGCCAGGACGGGCGUAUGCUGGGACGAGGACAGGGAGAAGGUGAGAGGGCCCUGUUGGCACUCCUAGCAGGGACUGGGGGUGCUCCUGAGGGGGAGCAGCCUGUGGCACAUCCAUUUCCCUGCAGUGGGUGGUUCUCCCUGUACUUUCUCUGUCAGAAAUGUGUAAUUUUUACCUGGACCUCUCAAACUCCUGGACGUUUCCUGUUUCUGGUAUGGUUAGGCCUGAUUGGAGCCAGCUUUCCUUCGGAUGCCGAAUCCUAGUUGGUUGGUAAAAAUCGGGCAUGCGUGCUGCUGGGCUAUAUGUCACCCAAAGGCAUACGAGAGCACAGGCAGUCAGAAGGGAAAGGCAGGUUGCAGAGCUGCAACAAGCCCUGGUCCAGCUCAGUCAGGAGGAAUGGGUGUUCUUUCAAAACCCACCUGCCUUCUGACACCCGGGAUAUAGCUGCCCAUAAAGCCACGGUCAUUCUUCUGAGGUUUGUGCACUUCCGUAUUUCAUCUCCAGUUUUUCUCCUUGCUGACAGAACUGUUCAUGACUUCAAAAUAGGCACUGCUUUUGAGAUGCAGCCUCCCAAAAUCAUAUUGAAAGAGUUGGUGUUGUCUUCUCCCGUGAGGAACACACAUAGUGCAGCCACGAGCUGUGUGAGAUUUUUUUUUUUCUUCCUUUCUCUUCUAUAUUGGUGCUUUAUAGCUUCAUCUAAGAUUUAUUAUAUGACAUCUUUUAAGCGCAGCCUUUGUUCAUGCUGUAGGUAGGUGUUUUCUACAUUUUGAGUUUCCUCAAGGUACUGGUGGGAUUACAGCGCUACACUGGCUCUACAGUUGGUUCACAGAGUAAUUUAUUUCAAGGCUUAUCAAUUUAUCGGGUAUCUCUUGCAGCGGGAAGCGUUUUGUCUGAUAGAAGUUAAACCCCUGCCUUCUUUCCCACCACUUCUCACUGAAUUUUACUUGUCAAGACAAGCGUAAACCUUUCCAAAGCCCUGGAGCAUCAGUAAGAGGAAAAUAAAAUUGUCUGGUUUUGCGUUAGACGCACUGAGGUCGCUAGUGGUGGGCCUCUUUUCAUGAGCACCAUAUGACUUCACAGCACAAUAUGAGUCAAAGUCAGUUCUUUGCCAGCCAAGGUGGGAGGCAAGGAUGCUUAGCAUAGAAUUACCAAAGGAAUUAAUUCUUUUAUAUUGUAGCUAUGCACAUAGCAGUGCCCCAGCCUAACACGUGAAGGACACAGAUACAGAGGAAAGCAGGGUUUAUAUAUGUGACAAGACAGUUGUAUAGGCCAAUCACAUUUUUCAGUGUUAAGGGGUGGGCUGAUUGGUUACUGUUGCUCACGUAAUUGGUACGUACUUGUUCCAUGCAGGAUCAGUAUGUGCUUGUCCUGUGCAGGUGGUACAUGUGUGGUCAGUGGUGUACACACCAAUGUCUUGUACAGGUGGUGAUGGGGUUUAUCCUAGAUUCCAGUCAGUUGCAGUUCUGGCCAUGGUCCUACGCCUGGUUCCACUGGAGGCUAAAUCUUCUGUUGUUUCAUCAUUGGUAUGGGGUCUUCUCAGUCCGUAAGACCUGGCUUAGGCUGGGUCUUCAGGUCACAUCGACCCCGAGGUAAAAGCUCAUAGCCUCAGAUAGUGUUCAUUCUUCUAAGCAAGUUGUAUUGCAGUUUGCAUCUCGCCUUUCACAUUUGUCCCUAAUUAAAAGCAUGUUUGAGAGUAAACGAUGCAGUUUAGAAAUGCAGAAUGUGUUUGUUCAGAGCAACGUGUCACAGAGUUUGAUCAAUUGUUCAAUAGCUCAGUGGAUGUAACAGGAUAUUUUGUGUUGUUUUGAUGUCAUCUUAAUUUUUUUCCCAUGGAAGAUGCACGUAGAGAAACAUUAAAUCCUUGAUUGACAGCUUGCUUAAAAUAAACCCAUGAUAGCUGCUUUUUCUUUUAUUUCUUUGCUCAAACCACAGGUUUCUGCAUUUUUCAUCAUGACAGAGCUUUCUUCAUCAUUGUCAGUGUUGUAAGCUAAAUCCUCUUUCAUCUUUAUCUCUCUUGGCUUCUGCAGUGAGGAUGCUGUGAUGAUGCUGCGGGAGAUGCAGCAAUUAACUCUACUCCAGGAUUUAGCUCUGCCCUCAGUUGAGCUAGAGAUGCUGCGGAAAGGUUGCCAGAGACGCAGAUACAAGCCUGCAUCCAGGUUUUUGCUGCAUCCCUGCUGCCGAGUAAGACAUAGAUCAUACCCGGAAUGAUUGCCUGUCCCUGUGGAAGAAGGGGAUACCUAGGGAUGUUGAUUUGCAAGGGAGAUCUGUGUGGACACUGCUUUUUCACAGUGCCUCAGCACCAUGCUGUGAGAGUGGGGUGUGAGACCCCUCCAGUGAUGCAGGAGGUGCGGGAUUUUUCAGUUCUGGUACUGAUGCUGCACUUGUGGUGAGGUCUCUGUGGCGCAAUGGACGAGCGCGCUGGACUUCUAAUCCAGAGGUUCCGGGUUCGAGUCCCGGCAGAGAUGAUCUCCAGGCAGGUGUCUCUUUUCUUUUAAUGCAUGUUCUUUUAUAGGUCCCAAUCCGUUACAUUUAUAACACCCUUGAGGGCUUUAGAUGGGAAGAUAAUGACUUUUCACGACACCCUCUCUACAGCUGAUGCACAUAACAGUCAUGUGCUUCCCUUCUAAGGCACCUCUCUCAUCAUAUUCCCCUUUUCUCAUUCCUUUUGGUACCUCCUGAGUAGCUACGUGUUUUAACCCACUUGUUCCCCCAAUACUGCUCACGGGUCCCAUCUUUGAUACCUUCUUAAGAAAACUACUGUGCUUUCCAGUAGAAAUCAGGUGGUUAGGCAGUGGUUUAGAGCCCUCUGUUGAUAUUUCCUUUGAUAAAUGUGGUCAUUUUUCUUCAAAUGUGUAGCAAAAAAAAAAGUAGGUCUAUAUUCUGAAUUUCCACCUUAUAGAAAUACUUUGCAAAUGCUCUUAUUUUUCCUCUUUUUACUUAGAGAUGAUGUUUGCUGGCAACGACCUCCACAUCCCCAUGGAGGUUCACCUUCCUAAGUAGCACAUUGACUCUUCCUUUCCUUUCAUAGCUGUUCUAAAUUAGUACGUAACUUCCUACGUGAUCUCAUUGCUAUCAGUAGUGAGAAAGAAAAGAGGGGAGCUGCAGGUGAGUGCAGCUGUGAUUGGUAGGUGAAUGGGCAUCAGCGGGGGCUGCUGAAGGGCUUUUCCAGGCUGCUGCAGCUGUUAGUUGUGAUGGAAAAGUGCUGAAGGUCGCAGGAAGGGUGCUUGACCCGGACACUUCAUAUACUCUUCAGAAAGAAGUUCCGGUGUGGCUUGUUGGAGAUAUCUGGUGUACACUCAGCUCUGGAGAGCCAGGCAUGCUGCUUGGACUAGUGAAGCUUGUGAAUAAACAUAGAAGGUGUUAGUCAUCUUCUUUACCAUGAAGGUGACAGCACUGGAACAGGCUGCCCAGAGAGGUUGUGGAGCUUCCUUCCCUGGAAAUGUUCAAAACCUGCCUGGAUGCGGUCCUGUGCCCCCUGCUCUGGGUGUGCCUGCUCAAGCAGGGGGUUUGGACAAAAUGAUCUCCGGAGGUCCCUGCCAACCCCUGCCAUUCUGUGAUUCUGUGAGGUGUCCUUGGAUUAGCAGGGUCCAUUCAGAUCUGGGUCAUCAUAGGAACUGCUGGCUUGCUUCCUCUUAGCUUCUAGUGUUGCUCUGUACUAGAGAAGUUGAAAGCAGUAGAGCACCCACUAGAACGGGACUUCUCCUUUCCUCAGUUGCCACCUCAAUCAUCUGGGUACGAUUUGCCUUUGGUGGGGUGGUGCGGAAAGGUCCUUCUGAAGGACAGUUCAUAGAAUCCCUUUUGGAUAUCUGCAUUAGGAUGAGAAAAAUAAUUUCCUAGGAACACUUUCUUCCCUUCCUGGUCUAUGGUUAGGUGAACCUCUCCCACAUCUGGAAUAUGUUGAGGGAUGCAACCUAAACCAGGGCAGACCUAGGUAGUGGCAUCUGCCUGGUUGCUUCCUUCAGAUCCAAGGUAGUAGGAAGCUUGACCCCAUUACUGGGCCAUGUAAUCCCACAAUUCUGCUUCUUCCCAAUUGCAUGACCUUCAGUGGCCACCAUCUGUUCUCCUGGCCCUUGUCUAUUGAGGAGUGGGUUUCUUUGGGUUUUGAGGUGUAGUGCAAAAACCAAUUUGACCAAGUUGAUGCAUCUUUCUUCCUUGGUGUUUCCUCAUCAGCGCCUGCCCUCAGCUUCAUGUUUGUUAGCGACUACCUGUGCUCACACAUAUCUCCACAGGGACCCAGGUCUCCAUCUCUCUGCAUUCCCAGCCUCUUGUAUACCUCCUGAAGAGAAGGUUACCUUCAAUGCUCAAACCUCAUCCCAGAACCAGGACACACCAUGAUUUCAAUUCAGCAGGAGCAGAGAAAUUCACUCCUGUUUGGGUAAUGCAACAGUCCCCUCCUGGACCUUUCAGAGGAUGAGUAUGCUGCACUGCGCACUUGCCAACACAGGGUACGUUCCCAUUGAUAGGACUUCUAGUCUCUGGUGGAAAACCAAUCCGCCUCUAUCACAGUAGCUGGCGAGCUUGUUUUGUUUCUUUUUCUUCUUGUGGUGCCUCUGCGAAUACUGGAGUUCAGCCUGUUUGGAAGACCAGACCCUGGUGGUGCUACAAGUUCUGCAGUCAGGACAGAGGCAGCAAUACGACUGAUUCUAGUUUAGCUGCUGUAACAACAGGAACGGUUGCAUUUUCUCUCCCCUAACUAUGAGUCUGUAAGAGCUUGGGAGCAGGAUCCUUGGCAUUACCAGACAUGGUCUCCUCCUGCGUCUGUGUCUCCUCCUGACACCUUCUGUGCCGCAGCCCUCAUGCUGAACCUCCUGAUCCAGGCCAUCCCAUGUUUGGGAAAGUGAACAGGCCCUAGAAAAAUGAAGUGUAAUUCUCUACCCAGUCAUGUCGCUGAUGCAAUAGAUGUAGUAGAAGAGCUCUGUUUGAGGUAUGGGCUUCAGGAGCAGUUGUACACUUGUGUGCAGCUUUUUUUUCUCAGGUCAGUAAGUUUUGUAUUGGGUGUUUAGGGGUGGUGAGACGGGUAAAUAGUAUGGUGUUUUGUUGGGUUUUUUAAUUUGUUUGUUUCUUUUUUUGUUUGGUUUUGUUUUGUUUUGUUCUAAGUACAUUUAGUUUUCCUGGAAUUCCUGACUUUACUAAAGAUGGAACCUUAAUUUUCUUUCACCAGUUUUGCUGCAUACUGUGCAAAUUGUUGACAUCAUCUCUUAAUGGGACCGGUGGUAAGAUCUAUCAAGGGUUAGAGUGAGUAUGAUGUAGGCAUCUGUAUAUGGAGUUUUAGCAUUUCUUGGGAAAGCAGCAGGGACAUAAGACAGUGUCUCUGAGGGUGUGGAACGGUCGUCGCCUUUCCCGAUCUCCCGCAGGGUACCCUGUUGUCCUGAGAACCUUUGCACCCUGUGCAGGCCCCUCGUAGGUUAUAAGCAUCAGGACUUCACUUAUUUUGCGGGCCUGUAGAGAGCACGGAGCCUGAGAGAUAGGAGGUGCUCAAAGCACACAGGGCACUGUUUGGAAGAGCAGCUCCCGAGGAGUGGCUGACAGAGGGGGUUCGGGGGUACAAAUGCAGGGCGGGAGCUGUUGGGAAGGGGUGGGUUCCUUCCCUGACUGUUCAGGAGGAGAGAAGGGGUUUAUAAAGUUUUGGGACUGGGGAAUGGCUGGGAAAGGGUGGUGGGUUCAUCAGCCUUCAUUAGGUGGGUUUUGCUGUGGGAUGUGUGUUUAGGUGAGGAUUGUUCUGUUUUAGACUCUCCGCAGCCGACGUGAGGUCAGGACAAAGUCAUGAGAGACGUGGUGUAAACUGGGCCUCCGCAUCAAAACAUGCAGGGCUGAAUGUCAGAAAAGUUUAAUCUCAGGUUGCAUUAGGUACAUUAAGGUACAUCAAAAUGUAUGUUCUGGGACUCUGAGGUCUCUGCUCCUCCAUGCGUUUACAUACUCCGUUCCCUGACUUAAUUUUUGCAUCCAGCCCUUCUCAGUCCCUCCGGGUGUCACAGUCAUUGUUACUUAAAGGCAUUGACUAGUCCCUUGUUUCCAGUGCAGACCUGUGCCACCAUCUUCCCUGGAACCUCUUGGAGAAGGGGAUGUGUAUUACUUGUGCUCAUAACAACAAUGUCCGGACAGGGGUCUGUCUCUUAUUGCAAUCCCAGGUAAAGUCCAGUCGUCUUCUGACAUCCAGGUCCCUGUGGGUUCCCCCGCCCCGCCCCCGAUACCUCCACCAGCAUUUUCCCAUGAGAGGAGGGGCAGAGAGGGGAGCAGAGUGCCAGGGCAUCCACAGAGUAUGGGUACCCAAGGGCCAGCCUGCUUUUGAGGAACGGCACGAGGAUAUCGGCAUCAACCGUUACCAGAGGAAGGAAGCUUCUUUCGCAGGAUACAUCUUUGUGCCUCUGUGUAUUUUUCCUGAGGUUCGCCUGGGAUCAAAGGUUACGUUUCCUGACUCAUCAGAUACAAGUAUUCCGAGCAUACAAGCAGGCACCUGAUGUGGACGCUGACCCGGGAGGCACGGCUCGGGAGAUGUACAGUAGGGAGCCGGACACAGAAGGCAGGAGGGGAUCAGAGCAUCGUGAGAAGGUUCUGUGCUGGCUGCCUUUGAAACUGGAUGAGCAUUUGUGUGUGACUGAUGGCUUUAUGUCUCCAUUAUGGUUUUUUUAUUUGAGGGUGCCAUGUGAUGAGCCAAGUGGGAUCUGGGCACUGGAGAUGAGUCGAGCAAGGUGCUCCGUGGAGGCUUCGGAGGGGAGACACCGCAUGCCGAUGAGAGGUGUGAGAAGGUUCUGUGCUGGCUGCCUUUGGAUUUGGAUGAGCAUUUGUGGUGAGCCGGGUCACAGAAAGGAGGAGGAAGGUGCUGCUGAUUUCUUGCAAGCGCGACGGUAGUUUUCCGUCUUUUGGUAUGUCUGUGCGCAAGUGAUGACGGCUGCAGUGUGUGACGCUGGAAUCUGUGCGGAACAGGCGAGCGGACCCUGUCCUUUUUGAGGAGGGGGUUUUGUGGAAGAGCUCUGUGUUUACCCAUGUGAUACUUAUUCCUGGCACUGUGGGUUUUUUCAGAUGCCUAAGAGGAACCUGGCAACUGCAGGAAUAUCCUGGUAGUAGCUGAUGUGUUUUGUGUUGUGAAAUGAUUCAUAACCUGAGCCAUCUAAAAGCCCCAGUGUGUAAAUUUGACUUUGAUUAGAAAGAGAUAUUGAAAAAUCGAGAUAUCUCUUAUUCAACAGAGUUGCAUUCUAUGAACUUACCAUUAGAGUGGAUCUUCAGAGAUUAUGUCUUUGGCAGUAGAAUUCAUCAGCACAAGACUUUAAUUUUUUUUUUUUAAAGAUAAAAAAUCAACUUCCUUGCAGAGAUCUAAGCACAGCACAUAUUCCAAACGUUGAUGGCAUUGGUAGUGUUUGGGUUCUCAGUUGUAACAACUGAGAUAUCAUUAAAUGGUGUUCCUCCACAUGGUUCAGUACAGCCAAACGCAUUAGCAUAUCUGCCGGUCCUUCUUGGUAGCCCCAUGUAUUGCGACACUGGGGAUUUCACAAACACCACACCCACACGCACCCCCACACACCCAAAAGUAAAACCAUAUCGGGGAUCUCUCAACUCACUGAUUUUUUUUCUGUCAUAAGUGAAACUUUAAAAAAGCUAACAUUGUAUGAUCUACAAACUGACUUGCAUUGUUACAGCAAUAACUGCCAAACACAUGUAGUUUAUGAUUUAUUAGGUAUAUUUAAACACUUGGGUAUUUGUUGGAAACAUUUAAAAUGUGAGGCAACUGAAA